CCCGCGCAUGCUCUAUGGGGUAGAGACGCUAGGCCGGCACUGCCUAGGUGGGCCGGGCGGUGCGAGGGUCGCCUUUCAGCCUUUACCUCUACCCACUGAAAUGGAGUAGGUCGGUGAGCGCCGAUCUGCUGGAGAAUCUCAUUAUCCCAUCGGCGCUCUGCCUGCUCCUGGCCUCCAAGCCUCUGAAGCCCCUCGGGUUUCAGCUGCCGGCUACCCUCGAGCCCGUGGUGCCCACGAGAGAGGCGACUUUACGUCAGCGGCCCUGGGCUGAGAUUUGAGAACGCGACCAAGUGGAGAAUGUUGGAGCCAGAUUUUAAAAUCCUUGUCUUCCUUCUGCGUGCUACUUGAUCUAAAUGAGAUACGGCAAAGUCACAGAACCUGUUUUUAUGUUUUUGCCUGAUUCAUACGGGCUUCUCCGGUGAAGAUGGGCCUGAAGUAACGCUUGGGUUGCUUCUGACGUUAUAACUCAUCCUGUAGCUGCAGCAACCGUGGUCCUUGCAACCUCAUAAAAAUGUUGCCAGCAUUGUUUCGAUAGUGCUGCUUAAUUCUUGGAAGGCCUCUUUGCUUUCUUCCCUGAGGUUCUUCGGACUUCACACAUUCCAGCAGUAGCUCUCUCAGCUCCUGUCCUGCACAGCUUUGAAGUGCUGGUGAUGUCAUUGAACUCUUAAGUGCAAGAUGAAACAAGUCUUUCUGGGGUUCUAAGUAGAGUACUGAGCUGUCUCCGAAGAAUUCAGAUUAUUGAAUGUAGGCACCCUUUUCUGAUUUCCUUCAUCAAUUCAAUUCAGGAGAUGUGAUGCAAUGUGAUGUGUCAAUAGAUAACAACAAUUUGCUCUUCUCAACUCCUUUUGCCAGCACAGGGGAACAAAUGACAUGAUAUUUACUCUGCAUCUGAUAGCCUAUCACUUUACAAAACAAUGUUUGAGCCUGGGUGCAGUGGCUCACACCUGUAAUCCCAGCACUCUGGGAGGCUGAGGACACAGGACUGGGCUGUGGCCCUUGGCGAGCCUCCCAAGCUAUUCAGUGAUGUUAGACAACCCACUUACCUUCUCUGAAAUUUACUUUUCUUAUAUGUAAAAUGCAGCUAUUGUACAGGACACAGCCCUGGUGAUGGCUUUCUGAGGAUGACACGAUGGAGGCUUCUCCAAUAGCUCUAAAACUGCGGUGUGGAAAACAUUCGGCAGCCUCAAAGAGCGGUCUUGUUGACCCCAACUAUAUCAUUUUUCAUCAAAAUCAUUCUUGUAAAGAAUGACCAGGCAACACUCUUUGAAAAUUGGAGGCCAUUUGCAGCUGCUCUCUGUUGAGGAAAGUGAAUAAUAGGGUGCCCUCAAGGAAUUGCAAAGGUAUCACUCAACAGAAACUUUCGUGUCUGAAGAAAACUAGAUCAUUUUAUCAUGGUAGGCAUGCUGAUAUGUUUGCUUUAAUAAAAUGCCAUAUUUCUGCCUUUAAUCUCUUGUCAACCCGCUAUUAAAAAGCCCCAAAGUGCAUGUGUGCAGCGCAUGUAAACACUUGUGGUUUUGAGGUUACCACAGAACAUACUAAUAAAGCAUGUAAUUUGU
ensembl:lncRNA HULC hepatocellular carcinoma up-regulated long non-coding RNA